rnacentral:rRNA from 1 species
UACAGAGGGUGCGAGCGUUGUCCGGAAUCACUGGGCGUAAAGGGCGCGUAGGCGGCCUGCUAAGUAGAGGGUGAAAUCCUGCGGCUCAACCGCAGGGCUGCCUUCUAAACUGUCAGGCUGGAGCACGGUAGAGGCAGAGGGAAUUUCCGGUGGAGCGGUGAAAUGCAUUGAGAUCGGAAAGAACACCAACGGCGAAAGCACUCUGCUGGGCCGACACUGACACUGAGAGACGAAAGCUAGGGGAGCAAAUGGG